rnacentral:rRNA from 1 species
UACGUAGGGGUCGAGCGUUGUCCGGAAUUAUUGGGCGUAAAGAGCUCGUAGGCGGCUUGUCGCGUCGGAUGUGAAAGCCCGGGGCUUAACUCCGGGUCUGCAUUCGAUACGGGCAGGCUAGAGUUCGGUAGGGGAGAUCGGAAUUCCUGGUGUAGCGGUGAAAUGCGCAGAUAUCAGGAGGAACACCGGUGGCGAAGGCGGAUCUCUGGGCCGAUACUGACGCUGAGGAGCGAAAGCGUGGGGAGCGAACAGG